GAAACCGAGUCUUAACAGGGCGUAUAAAGUUGCAUGCAAUAGACCCGAAACCGGGUGACCUAUCCAUGAGCAGGUUGAAGUGGGGGUAAAACCCCAUGGAGGACCGAACCGACCCCCGUUGCAAUGGUGGCGGAUGACUUGUGGAUAGCGGAGAAAUUCCAAUCGAACUCGGAGAUAGCUGGUUCUCUCCGAAAUAGCUUUAGGGCUAGCGUCGGAGGAAAGUUUAUCGGGGGUAAAGCACUGAAUGUCUGAUGGCCUCAUCUCGGGGUACUGACUACAAUCAAACUCUGAAUACCGAUAAACAUAUCCGGCAGUCAGACUACGGGUGAUAAGGUUCGUGGUCAAGAGGGAAACAGCCCAGAUCGCCAGUUAAGGUCCCGAAAUUCAUGCUAAGUGGGAAAGGAAGUAGACCCGUUUAAACAGCUAGGAGGUUGGCUUAGAAGCAGCCACCCUUUAAAGAGUGCGUAACAGCUCACUAGUCGAAUAGGUCCGCGCCGAAAAUGUACCGGGGCUAAGCAUGAUACCGAAACUGCGGAAUACGCCGCAAGGCGGAUUGGUAGGUGAGCGUUCCAAGGGCGACGAAGGCAGACCGAGAGGACUGUUGGAGCGCUUGGAAGUGAGAAUGCCGGUAUGAGUAACGAAAAGAUGGGUGAGAAUCCCAUCCGUCAAAAGUCCAAGGUUUCCAGGGGAAGGUUCGUCCGCCCUGGGUUAGUCAGGUCCUAAGGUGAGGCUGAAGAGCGUAGCUGAUGGACAACAGGUUGAUAUUCCUGUACUACUUGUCUGACUGAAGGAGUGACAAAGGAAGAUAGCCAGAGCCGGCGAAUGGAUGUCGGUUGAAGGUGGCGAGGAGGUUUCGCAGGCAAAUCCGCGGGACAUGAACUCUGAGCGCUGAUCACGCAAGUCAGGUGAAUCUCGACUUUCAAGAAAAGCUUCUAGGGAUAAUCAGGCAAGUACCUGUACCGUAAACCGACACAGGUGGACGAGGAGAGAAUCUAAAGACGCGCGAGAUAACCCUUGUUAAGGAACUCGGCAAAUUGACCCCGUAAGUUCGCGAGAAGGGGAGCUUUAAGCAAUUAAAGCCGCAGAGAAGCGGCCCAAGCAACUGUUUACCAAAAACACAGGUUUCUGCUAAAUCGCAAGAUGAAGUAUAGGAGCUGACACCUGCCCAGUGCUGGAAGGUUAAGAGGAGAGGUUAGCGCAAGCGACGCUUUGAAUUGAAGCCCCAGUGAACGGCGGCCGUAACUAUAACGGUCCUAAGGUAGCGAAAUUCCUUGACAGGUAAGUUCUGUCCCGCACGAAUGGUGUAAUGACUUGGGCACUGUCUC
rnacentral:rRNA from 1 species